AGUGAACGCUGGCGGUAGGCCUAACACAUGCAAGUCGAACGGCAGCACAGUAAGAGCUUGCUCUUACGGGUGGCGAGUGGCGGAUGGGUGAGGAAUACAUCGGAAUCUACUUUUUCGUGGGGGAUAACGUAGGGAAACUUACGCUAAUACCGCAUACGACCUACGGGUGAAAGCAGGGGAUCUUCGGACCUUGCGCGAUUGAAUGAGCCGAUGUCGGAUUAGCUAGUUGGCGGGGUAAAGGCCCACCAAGGCGACGAUCCGUAGCUGGUCUGAGAGGAUGAUCAGCCACACUGGAACUGAGACACGGUCCAGACUCCUACGGGAGGCAGCAGUGGGGAAUAUUGGACAAUGGGCGCAAGCCUGAUCCAGCCAUACCGCGUGGGUGAAGAAGGCCUUCGGGUUGUAAAGCCCUUUUGUUGGGUAAGAAAAGCAGCAGGUUAAUACCCCGCUGUUCUGACGGUACCCAAAGAAUAAGCACCGGCUAACUUCGUG
rnacentral:rRNA from 1 species